UCAAGAGGCAGACAAAAGAACAUCAUUUAUUGGUAUGUGCACAUCCACCACACAAGAUGAAGAUUAAUGAAACCCUUCGUAGUAUUUGUUUUUUGGAAAUUAAUGACAAAUGUAGACAAUUAGAACAUGGUUGUUAAAGAAUUGUAUAUAAUCCAUUGCCAGUACUACUUAAAAUCCAGACAUUUAAGAAUAGCCCACAAACAGACUACAUGCUUUAAUAAGCUAAAGGCAACAUCUUUUCCAUUAACAGAUAAAAAAACAAAAAUCUUUUAAAAUGUUUUAGUGUAGCAAAGGAUGACCACUACGGAAAAUUUGUCACAAAAUUAGGAUUAGAGUGUUUCAAUUAGAAUGAGAGAAAAUUAAAACCAAAAAAAAAUAUGUAAAGCAAUAUUGAGGCAAUGAAAAAAAUGCUCUUCCAAUAGAUACUUAAUUAUAGAAUAAAAAAACAAUAAAUAAUGUUUGAACCACUUUGAAAUUAUUUUUUUAAAAUUAAAAAGCCACAUUUCAAAUUAAGAUAGCUCAAACUUAAUGAUUAUCAACCUCAAGUAUGGAACAGCCAACUGGGAGUAAAAUUGCUUCAGAUUGUAUUAUCAAAGCUACUUGACUAAAAACAAUAUUGAAUUAUUUUUCAACCAGUGAAUGGUCAUCCUUCACAAUUUAUUUGUCAACAUACAACUUCUUUUCAAAUUAUUUGUAACAUUUUUGGGUACAUUCUAAUAUUAAGCAAUUCCAUAGAUUUGAAAAAAAAAAAAAGAAAAAAGAAAAAAAAAAAAAGGGGGGGGGGG